CAAGUCGAGCGGGAUGACGGGAGCUUGCUCCUUGAUUCAGCGGCGGACGGGUGAGUAAUGCCUAGGAAUCUGCCUGGUAGUGGGGGACAACGUUCCGAAAGGAGCGCUAAUACCGCAUACGUCCUACGGGAGAAAGUGGGGGAUCUUCGGACCUCACGCUAUCAGAUGAGCCUAGGUCGGAUUAGCUAGUUGGUGAGGUAAAGGCUCACCAAGGCGACGAUCCGUAACUGGUCUGAGAGGAUGAUCAGUCACACUGGAACUGAGACACGGUCCAGACUCCUACGGGAGGCAGCAGUGGGGAAUAUUGGACAAUGGGCGAAAGCCUGAUCCAGCCAUGCCGCGUGUGUGAAGAAGGUCUUCGGAUUGUAAAGCACUUUAAGUUGGGAGGAAGGGCAGUAAGUUAAUACCUUGCUGUUUUGACGUUACCGACAGAAUAAGCACCGGCUAACUCUGUGCCAGCAGCCGCGGUAAUACAGAGGGUGCAAGCGUUAAUCGGAAUUACUGGGCGUAAAGCGCGCGUAGGUGGUUCGUUAAGUUGGAUGUGAAAGCCCCGGGCUCAACCUGGGAACUGCAUCCAAAACUGGCGAGCUAGAGUAUGGUAGA
rnacentral:rRNA from 2 species